rnacentral:rRNA from 1 species
CCUACGGGAGGCAGCAGUCGAGAAUCUUCGGCAAUGGACGCAAGUCUGACCGAGCGACGCCGCGUGCGGGAUGAAGGCCUUCGGGUUGUAAACCGCUGUCAGAGGGGAUGAAGUGUACGGGAGUUAUCUCCUGUAUUUGACAGAGCCUCAGAGGAAGUACGGGCUAAGUUCGUGCCAGCAGCCGCGGUAAUACGAACUGUGCGAACGUUAUUCGGAAUCACUGGGCUUAAAGGGUGCGUAGGCGGCUGCCUAAGUCAGGUGUGAAAUCUCUCGGCUCAACCGGGAAACUGCGCUUGAUACUGGGCGGCUCGAGUGAGGUAGGGGUGUGUGGAACUUCCGGUGGAGCGGUGAAAUGUGUAGAUAUCGGAAGGAACGCCAGCAGCGAAAGCGGCACACUGGGCCUUUUCUGACGCUGAGGCACGAAAGCUAGGGGAGCGAACGGGAUUAGAUACCCCGGUAGUCCUAGCCGUAAACACUGAACACUCGAGGAGGGGGCUUCGGCCUUCUUUCUCUUAGCGAAAGCGUUAAGUGUUCCGCCUGGGGAGUAUGGUCGCAAGGCUGAACUCAAGGAAUUGACGGCUGAGAGNGCGAGCGACGACGAGGGAGGAGG